GAUGAACGCUAGCGGCAGGCCUAAUACAUGCAAGCCGGACGGCAAGUUGAGUAGCAAUACUUGACCUAGAGUGGCGUAAGGGUGCGUAACACGUAUGCAAUCUGCCCACAGCCGGGAGAUAGCCCUCCGAAAGGAGGAUUAAUAUCCCAUAGGAAGAUGAGAUGGCAUCAUUUUAUUUUAAACUACGGGGCUGUGGAUGAGCAUGCGGUUGAUUAGCUAGUUGGCGGGUAAAGGCCCACCAAGGCGAUGAUCAAUAGGGGACCUGAGAGGGUGAUCCCCACACUGGCACUGAGAUACGGGCCAGACUCCUACGGGAGGCAGCAGUAGGGAAUA
rnacentral:rRNA from 1 species